ACUCCUACGGGAGGCAGCAGUGGGGAAUUGUUCGCAAUGGGCGCAAGCCUGACGACGCAACGCCGCGUGGAGGAUGAAGACCUUCGGGUCGUAAACUCCUUUCGAUCGAGACGAACGGCCUUCGGGUUAAUAACCUGGAGGAGUGACGGUACCGAGAGAAGAAGCCCCGGCUAACUCCGUGCCAGCAGCCGCGGUAAUACGGGGGGGGCAAGCGUUGUUCGGAAUUACUGGGCGUAAAGGGCUCGUAGGCGGCCAACUAAGUCGGACGUGAAAUCCCUCGGCUUAACCGGGGAACUGCGUCUGAUACUGGAUGGCUUGAAUCCGGGAGAGGGAUGCGGAAUUCCAGGUGUAGCGGUGAAAUGCGUAGAUAUCUGGAGGAACACCGGUGGCGAAGGCGGCAUCCUGGACCGGCAUUGACGCUGAGGAGCGAAAGCCAGGGGAGCAAACGGGAUUAGAUACCCUGGUAG
rnacentral:rRNA from 1 species